AUAACCUGUAAAAAUGAGCAAGUGACGAUAACUGGCCCUCAUAAAGGUCAGACCACUCUACCCUGCACUGGUAACACACCAUAGCUAACAAUGGAACAGAUUCCUGGGGCUUAUCUCAUGGUUUUUCCUAGAAGAGGAGCGAUGGUUCGUCUUGUUAUUCAGACCAGUUAAUAUUCUUCCCUUUUACAUUUCUCAAUUCCGCUUACUAGGUGUUUUUGGUAUUAGCAUAACUGUUCCACGUCCUUGGGGUUUUAAUUUCUGUUAGAGUCUUGUUUUUGUAGAGUAGCUGAAGUCUUCAGAGCCAUUGUUUAUUAUUCUGCAAAUAGGUCAUUAUAAGUAAGACUGAUUUUUGAACCAGUGUUAUGAAAAUAUACAUUUAAAACGAUAAAAGCCUAAGUUUCAGAGAGCAACCAUUGUUCUUUCUAGAUCAUAGUGCAGUAAGUGGCUCCUUUAUGAUCAUUACUGACUUUUCCCAAAGUAAGUCAUUUAUGAUUUAUUUUAUCUAUGUUACCAUUUCUUCUCUAAAAAUAUUCCUUGAGGUGAUUUUUUUCCCUAGGAACAACAAUCUUUAAAUCUGUAAUUUUCUACUGCUCAAGACAGAAAAUACCCUUAAUUAGCUUUGUAACAUUUAAAUUCAGUAACAAAUUUAGUAAUAAUUCUCAGUCCACCAUGAACCAUCCAGCUACUGUUUCAGGCCCUAAAGUGAUGAAGAUGUGGUCUUUACUUGUCCCAGAGAAGCUUUAAUUCAGUGACCUGAAGAACAUACAAAUAGUAAGCUACAAAGCACUUUGAUAACUGCGGUAAUAGAUUGGCAAAUUACGAUGGGAAAUACAGACUCACUGCCUUCCAUAGACCUUUUGUACUUCUGUUAUGGUAAAUAUCAUAUUAUCUUUCAGAGAUAUUUGUAGCCAUUUUUUAAAACUGAGGGAUAGUUAACUUACAAUGUUAGGUUAGUUUCAGGUGUAGCAAAGUCAAUUAAUGUUAUAUAUAAUAAUAAUAAAGUUAUUGAUUAAAUUUAUUAAUAUAUAAAAUAUAUUUAAAUAAUAAAGUUAUUAAUUAAAUUUAUUAAUAUAUAA
rnacentral:lncRNA from 1 species